AGAGUUUGAUUCUGGCUCAGGAUGAACGCUGGCGGCGUGCUUAACACAUGCAAGUCGAACGAAGCACUACCGACGGAACUUUUCGGAGGGAAGAUGGUAAUGACUGAGUGGCGGACGGGUGAGUAACGCGUGGGCAACCUGCCCCAUAGAGGGGGACAACAGCUGGAAACGGCUGCUAAUACCGCAUAACAAGGAGAGAGCGCAUGUUCUUUUCUUCAAAGAUUUAUCGCUAUGGGAUGGACCCGCGUCUGAUUAGCUGGUUGGUGAGGUAACGGCUCACCAAGGCGACGAUCAGUAGCCGGCUUGAGAGAGUGGACGGCCACAUUGGGACUGAGACACGGCCCAGACUCCUACGGGAGGCAGCAGUGGGGAAUAUUGCACAAUGGGGGAAACCCUGAUGCAGCGACGCCGCGUGAGUGAAGAAGUAUUUCGGUAUGUAAAGCUCUAUCAGCAGGGAAGAUAAUGACGGUACCUGACUAAGAAGCCCCGGCUAACUACGUGCCAGCAGUCGCGGUAAUACGUAGGGGGCAAGCGUUAUCCGGAUUUACUGGGUGUAAAGGGAGCGUAGGUGGCAGGGCAAGUCAGAUGUGAAAACCCGGGGCUCAACCCCGGGAGUGCAUUUGAAACUGU
rnacentral:rRNA from 1 species